rnacentral:rRNA from 1 species
GCGAGUGAAGCGGCAACAGCUCAAAUUUGAAAGCUGGCUUAGGCCCGCAUUGUAAUUUGCAGAGGAUGUUUCUGGCGAGGUGCCUUCCGAGUUCCCUGGAACGGGACGCCAUAGAGGGUGAGAGCCCCGUAUGGAUGGACACCAAACCUAUGUGAAACUCCUUCAACGAGUCGAGUAGUUUGGGAAUGCUGCUCUAAAUGGGAGGUAAAUCUCUUCUAAAGCUAAAUACCGGCCAGAGACCGAUAGCGCACAAGUAGAGUGAUCGAAAGAUGAAAAGCACCUUGAAAAGGGGGUUAAACAGUACGUGAAAUUGUUGAAAGGGAAGCGCUUGUGACCAGACUUGCGCCGGGCAGCUCAUCAGGGGUUCUCCCCUGUGCACUCUGCCCGGCUCAGGCCAGCAUCGGUUCUUGUGGGAGGAUAAGAACGGUAGGAACGUGGCCCCCCUCCGGGGGGGUGUUAUAGCCUGCCGUACGAUACUCCCGUGGGGACCGAGGUUCGCGCUCCGCAAGGAUGCUGGC